rnacentral:lncRNA from 1 species
UUUACAUACUCUUAAUCAUGCUCCACAUUUUUCUUGAGACUAUGUUUAUUUUUUCCCUUUUUCCAUUUAUCUUAUGUAGAUUCUUAGACUUUUCUUAUGCAUUUUCUCAGACUGAAUAACAUAAAUUGACCUAUCUUCAAGUAUUCUAAUUCUUUUUUUCUGUCAUUUCCAAUUUACUUUUCUACUCCAGGACAUCUAUUUUUCAUAUGAUUUUUAUCUCUCUAUAGAUAUCCUGUUUGUCAUGACAUUGUUUUCUGCUUAAUUAUUUAGACAAGGUUUUCUUUAAUUCUUUCAUCACAUUUAUAGUAGCUGAUUUAAAGUAUUUGUCUACCAAGUCCAACCUGUGAGUUUUCUCAGUGUCAAUUUUGUGUGUGUGUGUGUGUAGAAAAUUAGUCCUAGACCAAAGCCUAUUUUUCUAACUAAGAAAGCUUAAAAGCAAGACUUGAUGGGAUCAAACUGUUUCCAAGUAACUUGACUGCAUCCCAGAACUGAUGUCAGAUAUAUAUAUUCAUAAUUUUAGAAAUACAAAAAUGUCCAUUCCACAAUAAAGUAAAAUCAAAAUUACUAGCAUCCAAUCAAAAAUUAGAAGGCAUACAAGGAAGAAGAAAACUAUUAUCUAUAAUAAGGAGAAAAAUCAGUCAAUUGAUGCUGACCUAGAAUUGAUAUAGAUGAUCAGAUUAACAGACAAGGACAUUAACUUGGUUAUUGUAACUAUUUUGCCUGUUGUAGAAGCUAGAGGAAAGACUGAACAUGUUAAAUCAUGACAUGGAAGAUACAAAAAGUUCCACAUCAAAACUCUAGGUCUGAAAAUUAUAGUAUCUGGGAUGAAAAAUAUACUGGAUGUAAUUUACAGUCGAAUAGACACGGCAGAAGGAAAAAUUAGUGAACCUGAAGACAUCAAUAGAAGCUGUCCAAAAUAAAACACACAGAAAAAAAGAAAAACAAUUAAUAAAUGAGCUGUGCUGUUAGUGAGCUGUGGGACAACUCGAAGCCAUACACUUGAAAGGAAUGGAGGGAAACAG